CAACAAGUCAGCUUUUUCUCUGCACAGGUUUUGAUAAAUCUCCCCCUCAGUCUCACACUAGAUGUCACAAUUGUACCACUGGGUAUAGGAUUAAAUAUGAUGGAAAAUGUAUUGGAAAAGACUUGAACUGUACACAUCUGCGGACAUGGAAGUCAAGGAUGCCUCUUUAGGAAAUAUUCUAGCAGACUUCACUAAUCCCUGCAGCAGAGAAAAGGUAUACCAAUGUAUAUGAACUUGAUGGAGUCCAAAAAGACACACUGUUCGCAGUGAGUGCACGGUUUAACUUAAAUGCAAAACUCAAUGUGUAAGUAACCUAACGCUGUUAGGUUAGUACUGCUCUAUUAUGCCCUUCAUGCUGCUGUUACUGUUUCUGUGUGUGUGAGUUAAAAACUGUUAGCAGAACCUCCACAUAUGUGUGUACGGUAUAUGGGAAACAUCAUAUAGGCUGGUCUACAUCCAAUGGCUGGGGGGGAGGGGAAACCGACAAUUAAAGAUGGAGCCUUCAGAGGUAAAAACUGCUGAUAAAUGCAAAUACUACUUACAGUGGGUCAAAAAAAAGUAUUUAGUCAGCUACCAAUUGUGCAAGUUCUCCC